CGCCCGCCGGCCGCGGCCCCGCUGCCGCUCGGAGCCCGCGGCCCUCACGGCCCUGCCUCGGCCCGUCUUGGAGCGCUGUUUGCUGCGUUCUGGGAGCCCCCGGGGUUUCGCGGUGCUGUUGUGCGGCCUUUUGGAGCCGUUUUCAGCAUCACUACCGCAUUAAAAGUCGAUUCAAUUAACCCUUAAGGGCCUGUCAGUUGCUUGUUUUCUAGUGGCUGCUUCCCCACAGCUGUGUUUGGUUUGAUUGGAGCAUGGAGCCCAUCUCCCUGCCAGAACCGGGGAUUCCUGCAGGAAGCAGCUCAUCCGUGCCACAGAAAAAAUUCCGUGUCCUGGUGGGAGUGACUGGAAGCGUGGCUGCCCUGAAGCUGCCCCUGCUCAUCGCAGAGUUGCUGAAAAUCCCUGGGCUUGAGGUGAAGGUGGUCACUACUGAGAGAGCAAAACAUUUCUACAAUGCCCAGGAGAUUCCUGUGACCCUCUAUGGUGAUGAAGAGGAGUGGCAGCUGUGGAAGGGCCGCUCGGACCCCGUCCUGCACAUCGAGCUCCGGCGCUGGGCUGACCUCAUGGUGGUGGCACCUCUGGACGCCAACACGCUGGCAAAGGUCGCCAAUGGCAUCUGUGACAACCUGCUGACUUGUGUCAUCCGUGCGUGGGACCUGAGCAAACCCCUGCUCUUCUGCCCGGCCAUGAACACGGCCAUGUGGGAGCAUCCCAUCACAGCUCGGCACGUGGAGCAGCUGAAGGGCUUUGGCUACACGGAGAUCCCCUGUGUGGUGAAGAAACUCGUGUGUGGAGAUGAAGGCACUGAAAAUUGCUGUGUGGGAAGAAAGGUGUCUGAAGGUGAUGAAUGACUUUGCUAUGUUUGCCAAGCAGAUGUUUUCCUUUGAUGGGCACCAAAACACCUGCGCUUGCUCUUCCUGGCUGGAAGAGUGAAAUUCCCUAAAACUGCUCACAAAUACAGGCCAAAUUGGUAGUUUCAGGAGGAAAAGAGGAAGGCUGGAGGUGCCGUUGGAGAGGAGGGGAUAGGCCAGGCUCAACCAUCUGAGCUGGUUCUUCAAGGCAUUCCAGCCCCAGCAGCAUCCCAUGGUGAGAAGUCCCCUGGAUGAACGUGCAGCCUUAGCUCACCUCUGCCAGGGCAGGGACCUGGCACUGGAGCAUCACCAGUAAUUUUCCACCCGUCUCCACGCUGUGGAAAUACACCCAGGCAUGGAAAAAGCCUAGAAGGGAAUAAAGAAGACACUUGGCCAGUAGAACUUGGCCGGCUCCCAGCUCAAGGAACAGCUUCAGGUUCAUCCCCAGCUCUCCGGCGCUUGGCAGGCUCAGCUGCCUCAGCUCCUACAAAUGGGACAGGCCGGCAGCAUCCCUGCCAAAACCCUGGGUGCUCCUGCUCCAACAGCUCCCUGUGCCCACGGGUUUGCUGCAAGACAAAAAGGGGGGAAAGGGGCUUUUUUGUGGAGUUCGGUUGGGAUUUUUUUUUCCUUCAUUCUCACUGUGGAGAAAAGGAGAAGGAAAAACUUGGCACGGAGGGCGGAGCGAGGGGGAGGUUGGGAGCAGCGGGGAUGUGGAGGUGGGAGGCGAGCUGUCCCUUUAUGAGGCUCUAAUGGCUCCAGCCAAAACCCACAUUAGCCCGAUGAGUGAAAGGAGGUUUUUACGAGUGCAAUGAGAUGUCCCAGCCUGCCGGGGCGGUGAUUGCCAGCCCGUGGCCUCGGGCUCUGCGGGGAGCUGCUGGUGCUCCUGCUGCAAUUUGGCUCCGCUCAGCAAGAGGGUCCAGCCUGUUUCCCAAGCUGGCGGUGCUAAUCCGUCUUACCUCAGUGGUGCAGCAAUAACCCCCAGAGCCAUCACCACCUCCCACCACCGGCGGCUGGAGAGCACAAGAUGUUCCCAGACAAGGCUCCUCACACCCUGUGCAGCCCCGGCAAACAAGGGCGGCUUCCCAAAUCCCCCGAGCAUCCUUCCCCCAGCAGCUUUCCAUGGAAAACACCCUCGAAGAGUCGCUGUCCCCAGCCCACCUCCUCAAAAACUCAGGUUCCCGUGCAAAGGGUGGUGAAACAGGCUGGGAAAGGGGCACCAAGGGCAGGUGUGACCAAGGGCUGUAACAUCCUGAUGAGUCCAGAGGAGAUAAGUGAUGAGAGGGUGAUGACUCAGUGCCUCUUGUGCAAAACCCAGGACCAUCCAAUGCAUCCAGCAUGUCCGAAGGAGAUGUUUCUCCAUAGGAUUUCUCCAGAUGCAGGAGGAUGAGGGCGGCUUCAAAAAGCAAUUCCUGGAAGAAGAAGCCACCCAGGACACAAAGACCAUCACCAGCUCACUCUGCUGGGUGUAGAAGCUCACUGAGGUCUGAUGUUUUCCCUGGGUCCUCUGCUUCAGCCGGUCGUUGUGGAGGAAGAAAACCCAUCAGUGAGGUGGUGCUCCCACAUCCAAGGCCAGGGUAGCAGUUAAUUCCUGGGGACAGGCUGGCCCAGGGUUGGCCAAGCUCCAGGGUCAGGACUGGCAGGUCUGGGCAGGAUCAGGAGUAGGAGGGAGUUAUUUGGUGGAGGUGGACAUGAAGGAAGCAAGAUAUCCCCAUUCCCAAGGUGGCUGAAGGGAGCUGGAGUCACCAGGAUUUAAUCCCAUGGGAAGAAUGAGUCAGUAGGAGCCAGUCACAGGGGUGACCACAAGGAUCUGUUAUCACCAGGAUCUGUUAUCGGUGGAAAAUCUGUCUCAUGAGGGCAUCAAAGCAGCUCCUUGUGAGCCAAAAGGAAGGGGGAAGGGGAGGAAAGGAGGACAAAGAUCCUCUGUGCUGGGCAAGGAGAGCUCUGUGGCCUCCAGCCCCUCUGGGAUGGUGCAGGAGGGGGUUCAAAGCCCCAUGUGCUUCCAUUUGAGAGCUGCUUCAGCCCAUCCUGACAGCCCGAGCUGGGAGGGGAAGGUCUUGCUCUCAGCACCGCGGAGCCAGAGCUGGGCUGAGUGCGUGUUAUUCACCUUGAAACUAUGUGAGUAAACAGAGAAGGCUCCUCUUCCUGGUCCCACCUCAGCAAUCAGGCUGCAGACCGGAGCAGACGAGCCCGAAUCCACCCUGGCAGAUUACAGGGAUGCUCUGCUCUCUCCUCUGCUGAGUCCUCGAGCCAAGCCACCCAGGAGAGGAGGACGGUGAAGCUCCACUUGGCCUCCUGGGCCAUCCCCUCCUAUGUGGAGCUUCUUGGAGAUGUCCCACCAGGAGGAAAACAUCCCUUUCUCACCACUUCUGGUGUUUUUAUAACCUGUAUCACCAUUUUUUGUUGCUGAGCAGCAGCAACACUCAUGGCUCACUCUGACAUGGGGGAGUGGAGCCAGCUGGGAAGAGCCCAGUUGAGAGAGCCAGCGCCAGCUGGGAGGAAGAAGAGAUGGUCCCGCAGGAGAGGGACCUCUGUGCUGGCACAGCAAAAGCCACUGAGCUCCAGGCAUUUGGUGGCCACUACUGCAGCCAUGAGUCCCACUGGAGCCUGGUGCCCUCCACCUUGGUCCUUGGGCUUCCCACAGGAGCUUGGCUCUUCUCUGUGGAAAAGCUUCAUCCAUCUUGGUGUCCUCUUCCCCAUCAGUGCCACACGCUGAGUGUUCCUAGAGGAAGAGAAGACCCUGGACCAUCCUAGAGGGAAGAGAGCAGCUCCAGAGCAGGGCUGGAGCCAGCCCAGAGCCAGGGAGCCUUGCAGAAGACUGAAGAGUUUCCAGGAUUGACAGUGGUUUCUGCAGGCAGGAGAGGGAAUGAAAUGG